rnacentral:rRNA from 1 species
UCCAGACUCCUACGGGAGGCAGCAGUGCGGAAUAUUGGUCCAUGGCCGAGAUCCUGCACCAGCCACGUCGCGUGAGGGACGACUGUCCUAUGGAUUGUCCACCUCUUUUGUCCUGGAGCAAAGUCCCCCACGUGUUUUUUUUGGAGAGUCCCUUCCGAAAAAGCCUCUUCUAACUCCUUUCCCUCAGCCGCUUUCCUCCGGAGGAUGCGCCCGUUAUCCGGAUUUAUUGGGUUUAAAGGGUGCGUAGGCGGGGUAUCAAGUCAGAGGUAAAAUCGGGGAGCUCAACUCCAUCCAGCCGUUGAAACUGAUGAUCUUGAGUGGGCUAGAAGGAUGCGGAAUGCGUGGUGUAGCGGUGAAAUGCAUAGAGAGAAAGCAGAACCCCGAUGGCGAAGGCAGCGUACCGGCGCCCGACUGACGCUGAAGCACGAAAGCGUGUGGAGCGAACAGGAUUAGAUACCCCAGUA